ensembl:lncRNA
UUUACUAGUUAUUUACUUGUGUAUUUAUCUCCAUAAAUUUUUUAUUUUAAAUUUUUUUAGCUUGCCAAGGGGAUUCCACAGUUGAAUCUUCAUGGAUAUCUAUCAACUUUGGUCCCUUUUCCAGAUACAUCACAUAUACUAAUUUGAAGGAGAUGAAAAUCAAUUUGAUGACAGUUCUAAAUUCCCUCCCAGCAACUCUGAAAGCAGAAUUAAUCUUUGAUCCAUCUAUUGGUGUACUUCAUAAUGAGACGCUUAUGAGGAUGGUUUUGUCCUCUAUUCUGAUAUCUCCAGACGAUGGGCAGCUUGAACAGUUCUUUACAGCUUUUACUUACAUCACCACAAAUAGAAAUAUCACAAUAAUUGAAAACACGGCUGUCCGAGACACAAUGCUGAACCUAACUUUGAUGGCUCUUUCUCCCAGAUUCCCUCUCUUCCAAUCCAAUGACUAUAUGUUGUGGUUUCAAAUAAAUCUUGUUGUACUACUGGCCAGUUUUCAUCCAUCAUAUUUGGUGGUUAUCCCCACAAACCUCAGCUGUGACUCUUACGAUGCAAUAUUAAAAGGCUUAGAAAAGGCUUUGGCUAUUGUACCAUCUGAACUUCUAGAGGACUUGAAGACAAGCAAAGAAAUUCUGAUUCUUUCACUACCAAAAGGUUGUCCUCAGAAAAAUACUCCCUUACCAAUAGGCUCUAAAUAUGUCACUACUGCAACUACAUCUUCAAUGUCAACCACUCAGCUACCAACUAAGGCCUCCACAGGUCCAGCAGUGUCAGGCGAAGUAUUUGUUAUUCUGCAGAUCCGUUUGCAUAUACAGUAUAUUGAUGCUUACAGUAAUCCUGCUUCAUUGGAGUAUCAGACUCGAUCCAGAAACAUCACAAUGGAGCUGAAUCACUUCUACUGGAAAUUGUAUGAGCCACACUUUCUCAGAUGCUACUUGAUGGGAUUCUGGCCUGGGUCUGUGGGUGUGGAUAUGCAACUUAUUUUUAAAAGUGACACUGUGCUUCCAAAUAAAGAAAGCAUUGAAGACAAUCUUAAGUCAGCAAUUGCUGAAUCAAAAGUGUUUCUUGACAUUAUUCCUUCCAGUGUCGUUGUUGUGAAUCAAGAUGGCUCAAGUUUGACAACCAGACAAACCCAGUCAUCACAAAAUGUUCUGAUUAAGCAAACAUCAUCUGCUGCAGCACCAGUUCUUUCUAGUGUUGUACCUACUAGCACACCUACUGAUCUUUCAAGCACAGCUCCUCCUAAUUAUGUUUCGUUCAAUGUCAUUCCUGAUCCUUCAACCAUAAUAGUUCCUACAGAUCUUUCAGACACUUCUGUCACCACUGGUCCAUCAGUAACAGAUGGUUCAUUAAACACAACAGAUGACACUCAUCUGUCAAGUACUUCAUCUCCUAAUGUUCCCAUACUCUCUGCAGUUUCUACUCAGAAGUCAAGCAUAACUGCUCCUCUUGGAACAUUAAGCACAGCAGAUCCUGCUCAUCUAUCACACACUGCUCCCUAUGACCAUUCAAGCACUGGGGAUCCUACUGAUCAUUCAAACACAACUGUUCUUACUGAUCCCUCAAUCACUGCAGUUUUUACUAAUCAAACAAGCCCAACUGUUGGAUCAAGUACUACAGUUCAUAUUGAGCGACCAAGCACAACUGUUCAUACCGGAACCAUGACCUCUGCAGUUCCUACUGAUCUGUCAAGCACAACUGCUUCUACUAGUCCCAUCACAACUACAGAUCUUUCAGAUUCAUCAAAGGCAUCUGUUCCUGUUGGUUCCACAACUGCUGCAAUUCCUACUGAUCAAUCACACUUAGUUGUUCCUUCUGAUACGUCAACCACUGAAUUCCUUGCACAUUUUUCAAGAACAACUCUUCCUAAUUCUAUUUCAAAAAAUGCAAUUCCUACUGAUAGACAAAGCACAACUGUUAAUACCAAAACCUCAACAACUGUAGUUCCUGCUGAUCUCUCUAGCACAAUAUCACCUACUGGUUUUACAGACACUGCAGUCACUUCUGGUCCAUCAGUUUCAACAGUUUCCCCUGGUCAUUCAAACAAUGCAGUAACUGCCAGUCUAUCAAACACAACUACUAAUUAUUCUUCAAACAAUGUGUUCCCUACGGAUCAACCAAGCACAACUGUUCAUACUGGAACCUCAAACACUGCAGUUCCUAUUGGACUGUCAAUCACAACUGUUCACACUGCCUCUUUCAUCACUAAAAGUUAUACCAAUCAAUCAGCUGAUCCUCCUGGCCCCUUUACCAGUGAAGUACCUACUGAUUUAACAGUCACAAAUGUUUCCUCAAUCACAGCAGAUCAUACUAAUUUAUCAAGCACUGCUUUUCCUAUUAGUACCACACCCCCGGCAGUACCUCCUAAUCAGUCAAUCACAUCUAUUCCUCUAGGCCUUUCAAACAGUGCAGCUCUUCCCAGUCUAUUUACCACAAUAGUUCCUACUGAUUUGUCAAACAGAACUGUUCCUAAUGACCAUUCAAGUAUCUCAGUUCAUACUGAACAAUUAAGCAUGACUAUUCCUAUUGGUCCCUCAACUACUAAAGUUCCCACUAAUCUUUCAAAAACAACUGUUCAGCCAGGCUCUUCCACCUCUACAGUGACAACCUAUCCAUCAAGCACAAUUAUUCUGCCUGAAAAGAUAAACACCACUGUCUCUACUAAUUUGUCAAGCAAAGUCGUUUCUAAUCCUUAUACAACUACUACAAUUUCAACCAAUACAUCAAUCACAACUGCACCAGAUGGCCAUUCAAACAAUGGAGUCCAUACUGUUUUAUCAAACACAACUAUUUCUGCUGGAAUGUCAAGCAGUGUACAUCGUACAGAUGUAUCAAACACAACUGUUCUUUUAAGUCCAUCUGGCACUACAUUGUCUGUAUCAGGUGCAGCUGGUAAUCAAAUUACCACCUCUGUAAUGUUUUCAAACUCAACACACUCUAAAGUUGUCACCACCUCAACCACAUCUUCAGUGCGAACCACUCAUCUAUCAACUAAAGCCUCCACAGGUUCAGCAGUGCCAGGCGAGGGAUUUGUUAUUCUGCAGAUCCGUUUACAGAGACAAUACAUUGAUGCUUACAAUAAUCCUGCUUCUAUGGAGUACCAGAUUCUGUCCAGAAACAUCACUAUUGAGCUCAAUCGAAUCUACCGGGAAAUUUAUGGGACCCGCUUCCUCAGAUGCUAUGUGAUAAGAUUAUGGCCUGGGUCAGUGGGUGUGGAUACAGAACUUAUUUUUAAAAACCAGACUGUGCUUCCAAAUGCAACAAGCAUUGAAGAAUCUCUAAAGACAGCAAUUGCUGAAUCAAAAGUGUUCCUUGGUGUGAUUCCUUCCAGUAUUACUGUUGUGGAACAGCAAUAUACAACUUCAACCACCAGCCACACUCAGACAUCACAAAGUGUUCCUAUAAUGCAAACAUCAUCUGCUGUUGCACCGGUUCUGUCUAGUAUGCUGUUCAUGCUUCUGCUUCUACUAUGGAAUGAAACACUGUAAUUCUGCAAAGCUUUACUCCAUGUGUCACAUUCAAACCUACAAUUAAUAUUGUGACAACUCUAUUAUCUGCUUUUGUGAUACAUUACUCUUAGUUUUAUGUAAUGAAAAUUGUGAUUUACCUGAUACAUUUAAUUAUUAUUCUUCAGGCAUUUCUUGGGAAUUUCAACACCUAUAACACCAUAACUUGUAUUUUGCCUAACCCUUCUUGUAUUUUCUUUUCUUGGAUGUUAAAGAAAUUUAAAUGUAAUGCAUAUUUGUAAAUAACAAGCAAAAUACAAUACAAUGGUUUUGAUUUAAAAAUAUUAUAUAUAAUUUAUUUUGUUGAAUUUAAUUGUAAUCUGUACUAUUUGUGCACUAUUCCUUUGUUAUUCAGAAAAGUGUAGUUAAGAUAAAUUUAUUUGUAUGAGUACCAGUUUGUCAAGAUAGUUUCUGUUUCCAAGAAUGCUUUGCUUCAAUAAAUGCUGAAAUUAUUUUGUCUUAUUAUUUAUU